GGACCCGUAGCUCAGCCAGGACAGAGCGUAGGCCUUCGGAGCCUAUGGUCCCGGGUUCGAAUCCCGGCGGGUCCG
rnacentral:tRNA from 1 species